GGGACGCGCCUGGAAGCGUUGAAAAGGAAAAAGUGAACCUGAUGCGUUUCAGCUGGAGGGACAUGGCCAGGCUUCAUCUCCACCUGUGUGACUCCUGUGGCAGACUCGGUUGGUGCAGAGGUUUGACCUCGUCACCUCGGCUGCAUGCGUCCUGGACCUCGGAACCGAAUGCAACACUCUGAUGUUGAAUUUCAGCCGUGCUCACUGGGAGAAGGUGGACGAGGCGUCUUGCUUUCAGCCGCCAGGAGUCAAAGCGAGUCUGUGGCUGAACGGCCGUAUAGAAAGCCUUCCCACUGGGUUACUGGGCCAACAGUCAACUUCUGACCCUUUCCUUCAUCAGCUUUAGCGGGACUGUUUCACUACAAUGAAAGGACGAGGAGGAGGCCACAGAGUCAGCGGGAGGAGAGGUCCAAGAUGUGGUGCCACUCGUUACAGAACCCAAGGGGUUUUUAAAGCGCUUCAGAGCAGCAGCAGCAGCAGCAAAGAGGAGGUGCCUUGUGUUUUUUUUUUUGCCGACCACAGUGUUUUUACAUGGAGACAAAUGGCUGGCAGGAAAAUAAUGAGGGAUGAGCGAGAGAGAGGGAGGCAAAUGGAGUUAGCAAACAGAAGCUGCGACGGCGUUAGCCUUUAGCCAAGAACGGGCUCUUAAAAAUUAAUAGCGUGAUCUGAAUUCAUCCCGGGCGCAUUGAAUAAUUGAGAAGUGUCUUUGAGGAAAACAGAUCGCGAGGAGUGUGACAUGGAGAGGAACCAGAAAAUGAUGGAAGAACACCAAGAAACUGCAACCUUUCGUUCUCUCUCUCUCUCUCUCUCUCUCUCUCUGGCUCGCUCGGCCUUUUCUCCAUCAC